UACAGAGGUCCCGAGCGUUGUUCGGAUUCAUUGGGCGUAAAGGGUGCGUAGGCGGCGGGGCAAGUCUGAUGUGAAAUCCCGGGGCUCAACCCCGGAACUGCAUUGGAUACUGCCUUGCUUGAGUACUGGAGAGGAGACUGGAAUUUACGGUGUAGCAGUGAAAUGCGUAGAGAUCGUAAGGAAGGCCAGUGGCGAAGGCGGGUCUCUGGGCCGAUACUGACGCUGAGGAGCGAAAGCGUGGGGAGCGAACAGG
rnacentral:rRNA from 1 species